rnacentral:misc_RNA from 1 species
AAAGUCGUAACAAGGUUUCCGUAGGUGAACCUGCGGAAGGAUCAUUAUCCAUCAAACCAGGUGUGGCUGCGGCCCUCGGGGGCUUCCCCCCGGGCGGUAGAGGUAAAACUUGCACGCGCCACAUGUCUGAAUCCUUUCUUUACGAGCACCUUUUGUUCUCCUUCGGUGGGGCAACCUGCCGCUGGAACCCAUCAAAACCCUUUUUUGCAUCUAGCAUUACCCGUUCCGAUACAAACAAUCGUUACAACUUUCAACAAUGGAUCUCUUGGCUCUG